rnacentral:rRNA from 1 species
GAUGAACGCUGGCGGCGUGCUUAACACAUGCAAGUCGAACGGAAAGGCCAGUGCUUGCCCUGGUACUCGAGUGGCGAACGGGUGAGUAACACGUGGGUGAUCUGCCCUGUACUUCGGGAUAAGCUUGGGAAACUGGGUCUAAUACCGGAUAGGACAACUUUUUGGAUAUUGUUGUGGAAAGCUUUUGCGGUAUGGGAUGAGCUCGCGGCCUAUCAGCUUGUUGGUGGGGUAAUGGCCUACCAAGGCGUCGACGGGUAGCCGGCCUGAGAGGGUGUACGGCCACAUUGGGACUGAGAUACGGCCCAGACUCCUACGGGAGGCAGCAGUGGGGAAUAUUGCACAAUGGGCGCAAGCCUGAUGCAGCGACGCCGCGUGGGGGAUGAAGGCCUUCGGGUUGUAAACUCCUUUCGCUAGGGACGAAGCUUUUUUGUGACGGUACCUGGAGAAGAAGCACCGGCUAACUACGUG